rnacentral:lncRNA from 1 species
CUUGACUUUAUAUUGCGAUUGGCAACUUUCAUAAAUUAGGUGCAUUACCACCACUGACCUUGUUCGUCUUUCACUCACCCACGUGGGUUUAACCAAUGAGGAGAUGGCACAUGGGUACCUGCUUCUAUAAACCAAUGAGGAGAUUGGAGAGGCAGGACUUGCAGCGUGAUCUGCGUCACAAAUAGGACUGACUUCUAUUUUAGCCCUUGGCAACACAGACGCUCGUUGGCAUGCGCGAGCAGUGUGGGUGCAAUAAUUGAAUAAUAUAGAUUUCUAAAUGUAUUUUGCUACGGUCAGCCUGUAAGGCACUGCAUCGCAGUGCUAGCUGUGCCACUAGAGAUUCUGGGUUAGAGUCCUGGCUCUGUCGCAGCCGGCCGCGACCGGCAGACCCAUGGGGCGGCACACAAUUGGCCCAGCGUCGUCCGGGUUAGGGGAGGGUUUGGCCGGCAGGGAUGUCCCAUCGCGCACUAGCGACUCCUGUUUUGGGCGCGCUGAAUUUUAAAAAACUAAUUAAAAAAAAAAAUAACUGUUGAAGUCUCGGGGAAGCAGCUCGCUGAAACAACUCUCAGAGAACCUCUAGGUGGGUCUUUACACGUAUACACGUCAGCAGCCCUGUCUUUCUCUACCAUCAGCUAUACUCAUGGUACUGUCACUUCCUGUCUCUCCCUACCAUCAGCUAUACACACGGUACUGUCUCUUCCUGUCUCUCCCUACCAUCAGCUAUACUCACAGUACUGUCUCUUCCUGUCUCUCACUACCAUCAGCUAUACUCAUGGUACUGUCUACCUGUCUCUCCCUACCAUCAGCUAUACUCAUGGUACUGUCUCUACCUGUCUCUCCCUACCAUCAGCUAUACUCAUGGUACUGUCUCUACCUGUCUCUCCCUACCAUCAGCUAUACACACGGUACUGUCUCUUCCUGUCUCUCCCUACCAUCAGCUAUACUCACAGUACUGUCUCUUCCCGUCUCUCCCUACCAUCAGCUAUACACACGGUACUUUCUCUUCCUGUCUCUCCCUAGCAUCAGCUAUACUCAUGGUACUGUCUCUUCCUGUCUCUCCCUACCAUCAGCUAUACUCACAGUACUGUCUCUUCCUGUCUCUCCCUACCAUCAGCUAUACUCAUGGUACUGUCUCUACCUGUCUCUUCCUACCAUCAGCUAUACUCAUGGUACUGUCUCUUCCUGUCUCUCCCUACCAUCAGCUAUACUCAUGGUACUGUCUCUACCAUCAGCUAUACUCACGGUACUGUCUCUUCCUGUCUCUCCCUACCAUCAGCUAUACUCACAGUGCUGUCUCUUCCUGUCUCUCUCUACCAUCAGCUAUACUCACGGUACUCUCUUCCUGUCUCUCCCUACCAUCAGCUAUACCCAUGGUACUGUCUCUUACUACCAUCAGCUAUACUCACGGUUCUGUCUCUUCCUGUCUCUCUCUUCCAUCAGCUAUACUCAUGGUACUGUCUCUUCCUGUCUCUCUCUUCCAUCAGCUAUACUCACGGUUCUGUCUCUUCCUGUCUCUCUCUUCCAUCAGCUAUACUCAUGGUACUGCCUCUUCCUGUCUCUCUAUACCAUCAGCUAUACUCAUGGUACUGCCUCUUCCUGUCUCUCUAUACCAUCAGCUAUACUCAUGGUACUGUCUCUACCAUCAGCUAUACUCAUGGUACUGUCUCUACCUGUCUCUGCAGAGUUUGUACUGUGUCAAUUUAAAAACAAGGCAGCCAUCUUGAUCUGACUAAAUACAUGGGAUACAAUACAACAUGUUUCCAAGUGGACAAGUAUUGUCAGAGAAUAUAUCUAAACCUGGCUGGUAGAAAGACGAUAUUCAAAACUAAACAUGACCACAUCAGCAGGAUUCCCAACAUUCAACUACUUGUCUGAGUCAAGUGGUCUGAUCUCUUGCCUAGUUAAAUAAAGGUUAAAUAAAACAUCUCUCUCUCGCUCUCUACAAAGUUUGAGGGCCCUGGUGUGAGGAAGCUGUCACCCUGCUUGACAGAACCUGACAUUUCCAAAGGUCUGUGAGGAGGAUCGUUUGUGACAGCUUCAAAUUACAGUGUGGGAGAAAGGGAAGGAUGGAGGGACUAUAAAUGUCACUUCCAGGAGGUGAGGGGGAAGGAUGGAGGGACUAUAAAUGUUACUUCCAGGAGGUGAGGGGGAGGUAUGGAGGGACUAUAAAUGUUACUUCCAGGAGGUGAGGGAGAGGGAUGGAGGGACUAUAAAUGUCACUUCCAGGAGGUGAGGGGGAGGAUGGAGGGACUAUAAAUGUUACUUCCAGGAGGUGAGGGGGAGGGAUGGAGGGACUAUAAAUGUUACUUCCAGGAGGUGAGGGGGAGGGAUGGAGGGACUAUAAAUGUUACUUCCAGGAGGUGAGGGGGAGGGAUGGAGGGACUAUAAAUGUUACUUCCAGGAGGUGAGGGGGAAGGAUGGAGGGACUAUAAAUGUCACUUCCAGGAGGUGAGGGGGAGGGAUGGAGGGACUAUAAAUGUCACUUCCAGGAGGUGUGGGGGAAGGAUGGAGGGACUAUAAAUGUCACUUCCAGGAGGUGAGGUGGAAGGAUGGAGGGACUAUAAAUGUUACUUCCAGGAGGUGAGGGGGAGGGAUGGAGGGACUAUAAAUGUCACUUCCAGGAGGUGAGGGGGAGGGAUUAUAUAUUGUGCCUCUAAAAAAAAAAAAGACGUUACAUGGGCAUUUCUC